GACAUUUUUAGACAUGCGUCCCGUCCCUGCCCUCGUCAGCUGUGUUGGUGUGUGCUCGGAUCCCCUGAGGCGGCGCGGGGCGGGCGUGCUGUUACAAUACAGUGCCUGGCUCACACCUGUCCUCACACACCUGCCAUCACACACCUGCUGCCCUGCACUCCCGGCUGAGGCUGAAGUGCUGCUGGUUGGUGUGUGCACAUGCCUAUCCUCCCCGCACCCAGCGCCCUCUCGUUACCGCUCCCAGCCCCGCCCCCGUGGUAACCCUUUUGUAUCUUUCAAGUCAAGAGUAUGAACCUUAUACUACACCAUUGAAGAGCCCUUAAGAAUGACCUUGGCCUCAGUUUUCCAGUUCCAGGAGUUGCCAAAAGGCCUGGAACUGGUGGCACCAUUCGGGAGGUUCAAGGUUCUUUAUGGGAAAGCUGUGGGCAGAUGCUGCGAAGUGUAUGUAGGUGAGGACCUACUGCAGGGGGACUUGGUGGCGGUGAAGGUGUUCCGACGACACCAGCAGUACCAGGGAGCACUGCAGAGGGAGCUGUUCUUCCUCAAGUCUUUGGCAGCUCCAGGAGCACCUUUAGUGAGGCAUUUUGGGGAGCUGCAAUGGGAGGGGCGAGACAUUCUGGUGCAGGAGCUGCUUGGCCCCACCCUUAGGGAAGUGAUCGGUGAUGACCGCCUGGCCUGCUCCCCCUGGUUUGCCAUCACCCUCACCACUCAUCUACUGAGGGCACUGCAGCACCUCCAUGACAAGGGAGUGGUACAUGGUGACCUCAAGCCCCCCAACAUUCUGUGGGAUCCUGAAUCGGCCACCUUCAAACUCAUAGACUUUGGCGUGAGCUUCACCACCACAGAGGAGCUCACCCAUGCAGUCCAGAGCAAAGGAUACCAAGCUCCGGAAUGUGUUGUGUGGAACAGAGCAGUGGCUGAGGGCAAGACAGAUCCAGCAAAGCAACCAGGACCAGCUGCUGAUGUAUGGAGUGUUGGCUGUGUUGUGGCAGAGUGCCUGAUAAACCAACUGCUGUUCCCAUUGGGUUCACGAUAUGAUGAUGCCGAGGAACGCCUGCGCUGUGCCCUCACUUCUGUAAGAACAAGCAACUCCAGACAAUUCCUUGAUGACUGCUUCAAAUUUCUCAGAAGAUGCAUUCAGGUGUGUCCUGAGGAUAGAGCCGAGGUGAGGAGUCUGCUGGAGGACCCAUGGCUGCAGCGGCACCCUCGACCCACCACUGGUGACCUCCUGCGCCUUCCCACCCGUGUGGUGCGCUUCUUGAGGGUGACAGACCCACACCCCAUCCCAACCCUGGCAUAUGAGGUGAAAAAUCAACUGCUGAGCCUCUGUGCCAGACAUGGGAUGGUGCAGGACCACCACCUGGAGGCCUCACUGGGCCACUUCUAUGUUCGUUUCCACAGUCAAAUGCAGGCAGAGGAGGCCCUAGACUACCUGACAGGCAUCACCUUCUGUGGCCACAUGCUGCUGCCCACUUUUUUCCCCCCCGACUGUUGGGCCAGGAGGGAGCUCUUCUGAGGCUGAGAUGUAAGACUUGAUAACCAACGGCUGAGUGAGGCCAUCUUGCCAGACCAGGAUGUGUUGUCAUGUACAGAAGUGUUUUGACUUUGGCUAGGAGUGUAUGCUCUAGAAUAAGUCUAGACUGAUGCCAAGGCUUGUCGCCGAGCGUGUAGAAAAUCCAAGACUGUGAGAAUCUUAACUAUUCCCCGCGCCUACCUUAAG